UUAAUACAAGAUGGCAUCAUGAGUCCACAUGUUCACAUGAUUAAAGGUAUUCCGGUAGACGAUGGGGAUGCGUUCCAUUAGAUAGUAGGCGGGGUAACGGCCCACCUAGUCUUCGAUGGAUAGGGGUUCUGAGAGGAAGGUCCCCCACAUUGGAACUGGGACACGGUCCAAACUCCUACGGGAGGCAGCAGUGAGGAAUAUUGGUCAAUGGGCGAGAGCCUGAACCAGCCAAGUAGCGUGAAGGAUGACUGCCCUAUGGGUUGUAAACUUCUUUUAUAAAGGAAUAAAGUCGGGUAUGCAUACCCGUUUGCAUGUACUUUAUGAAUAAGGAUCGGCUAACUCCGUGCCAGCAGCCGCGGUAAUACGGAGGAUCCGAGCGUUAUCCGGAUUUAUUGGGUUUAAAGGGAGCGUAGAUGGAUGUUUAAGUCAGUUGUGAAAGUUUGCGGCUCAACCGUAAAAUUGCAGUUGAUACUGGAUAUCUUGAGUGCAGUUGAGGCAGGCGGAAUUCGUGGUGUAGCGGUGAAAUGCUUAGAUAUCACGAAGAACUCCGAUUGCGAAGGCAGCCUGCUAAGCUGCAACUGACAUUGAGGCUCGAAAGUGUGGGUAUCAAACAGGAUUAGAUACCCUGGUAGUCCACACGGUAACC
rnacentral:rRNA from 1 species